UACAGAGGGUGCGAGCGUUAAUCGGAAUUACUGGGCGUAAAGCGCACGUAGGUGGCGACGUAAGUCGGGUGUGAAAGCCCCGGGCUCAACCUGGGAAUUGCAUUCGAUACUGCCAUGACUCGAGUCCGGUAGAGGAGUGUGGAAUUCCCGGUGUAGCGGUGAAAUGCGCAGAUAUCGGGAGGAACACCCGUAGCGAAGGCGGCACUCUGGGCCGGAACUGACGCUGAGGAGCGAAAGCGUGGGGAGCAAACAGG
rnacentral:rRNA from 1 species